AUUUUCAUAGUUUAAUAAAAAACAUUAUAUUUUCAAUAUAAAAAUAAGAUAACCUUUGUAAAUA
rnacentral:tRNA from 1 species